AGAACAAAUAUGUGACUUUUGUCGAGAACUUGUUUUAAGAAAGAGUCGGCCGCUGUUUGAAUUUUUUCUUUCUCCGUCUCUCUCUUUCGAAAAUCAGAAGGAUACUUAAUAGCAGAAAUCUAUGGAAAUAUUCUAAUUGUCUGUUGUCAGUCUGGUGCGCGCUUAUGAAAUUCUAAAUUUACCACAUUAAAAAUCCACAAGUGGCACUAAAAAUAGUAAAAAUAAAAAACUGGGUAUAGCUCCGAUCUACCGCACACAGUUCUAAAAUGAGUUUCUUGGUUUCGAAUACGGCGGUUUCUCAGAAAGUACUCAGUCGUAUGCAAGUUCUUAUCGUUUUGGUGGUAAUAGUGGUGGAAAUUCUUAGUGUUCAUAGUUUUAAAAAUUCGUGUCAUUCCGGACAAAUAGGUAUUGCCGAAUUCGAUUUAAAAUUGAGAUGUGGAGAAAGUCAACUUCCCUGUGGAAAGCCGCAGAAAAGGGCUAUGCUAUUAAGGACAUUAUUGGAAUUGAAUCUCACAACUCCUACAACACCUAAUAUGGUUAUACUCUACAGGUGCGAAGACAGCGGAUGUUGUGCCCGAAACCACGAAAGAUGUUCAAACAGUAGUGCAACGGAGCAUCAAAUAAAUUUCAUUACUAACACAGGAUUGCAAAAAUCAAUGACGAUAUACAACCACACCGCCUGUUCGUGUAUGUACAUUCCAGAGACGCAGGAAUGCUUUCUAUAAAUAUCCAGUCGAUUAGAAGUAUGAUAAAUAAAUAUUUAAAUAAAAACACAGUAUUAUACGAUGUUAUGAGGUGCCUUCGAUACAGGUGCUAAAACUAAAAGUCAAAAUAUAGAAAGGAACAUGUUUUAAGUAGAGAAGACAAGAAUCCAAUUUAAUGCAAAUUGGUUUUUGCUAAAAACUCUUUAUAUUCUAAUAAUUGCACAAAAACGUCCAAGACAAGAAUAAAAAUACGUUAUUAGAAAAAUUUUACGGAAUAUAUGAAUUUCAAUGUAAAAUUUAUUCAUCCAACUUGCUUUUUUGACUGCUUUCUUUAAUAACAAAAUUGAUCAGUAUCAGAGCCUGCAGUACACAAAAUUAUAUUUUUUAGAUAAUAUUUUAUUGAAUUUCAAAUAUAUAUCACCAAGAAUUUGAUUAAUAGAACUCUUGAUCUGGAGGAUUGGUAUUAAAGUAGAUUCUGAAAUACUAAUACUGUUUACAGGAACUGCUCUAUUUAUUAGAUUCGAAAUUAAUCAGUAUAUGGGUGGGAAGUUAACAAAAUUUUAUUUUUUAUAUGAUGUUCUAUUGAAUUUGGAACAUUUAUAACCAAAAAUAUGAUUCAUAAAACUCUUGACAUGGAGGUUUGAUAAUAAAGUAGAUUAUGAAAUAUCAAUACUGUUUACAGGAACUGCUCUAUUUAUUAGAAUCGACAUUGAUCAGUAUAUGGGUGGGAAGUUAACAAAAGUUCAUUUUUUAUAUGAUGUUCUAUUGAAUUUGGAACAUUUCUAACCAAAAAUAUGAUUCAUUAAACUCUUGACAUGGAGGCUUGGUAAUAAAGUAGAUUCUGAAAUAUCAAUACUGUUUACAGGAACUUCUCUAUUUAUUAGAAUCGACAUUUAAAUAUGUGAAGAAGAAUCACCAAAUAAAUACUACAGUAAGGGUUCAGGGUAUCAAAUUUUUCAUGUUCAAUCGAGUCUUUUGAAUAAGUUAAUGGUAUUAGAUUUAUCUUUGGUAAAAUACGAUCCCGUAGGAUUUAUAAAUCUACUGGUUCAUGUUUGGAACUUCGAUUUUAAAUUGUCCCUACAAUAAAAAAGUCCUUCCAAGUCCAUCGGAAUCAAAUCAGGAGCGUAUUGAGGCGGAACGUAUAACGUAUUAACAAUAGCGGAAAAAUCUGUUGUAGAUUGUUCCGGAACGCUACUUACCUUAGUAAUUUUUUUAUUAUGGUCUGAUGUCAAUACAGAGUGGCCAACUUAAUGAAUCGUGACGUUUUGUUAAAACUCAUUGGUUAAUAUAUCUAUACUAAAAUUAAUUUGUAUAUUCCGUAUUUUUUUUCAGCUCUCUAUAUUAUGUUGCGGACGAAUUUAUAAAUGAUUAAAAUGUAUCAAUCAUGAUGCAAGAAAUAUUUCAGACUGUACUAUUGAAAAUUUAAGACUAAAGCAGGUUUCAAAUGUUAAUUAACGUUGUAUUAUUUAUCUUUGUAUGAUGGGAAGAUUCUAUUUUUGAUAGAUUUUGAGAUAUUGAAGUUUUUUUAUUAUUUCUAAAGCCUGGACCCUAAACGAACUUUAUAUUUCUUGCAUCAACAACGUUUUUAUUUUGAUUUGAAUGAAUAUGAAUGAACGUGUGGUGUGAUCAUAAAGACUUUAGUUAAGAAUCAGUAUUCUAAGAAUCGAUGUAUAUAUUUGGUAUUAUAGAUUUAAGUUUAAGAAAUGAAAGUUAUUUAUUAUCAUUUUCAUUACCGAGGACUACUUCAAUAUGACUAAUUGCAAACUGUAAAAGUUUAAUAUAAAAAUUUCGCAACUAUGUUGUACAAAGUGGACUAACGAAAAGAUACCGGGAAGAACAUUAUUGGCAAUUAAUUUUUGCACUUUUGAAAUAGCCAAGGAAAAAAAAUAUCGUUUUCAAGUCACCGUAAUCUUGCUGGCAUUCCUAAAAUAUUAAAUUUUCAAAAAUUCUUCGACAUAUAGGGCGGGGUAUGUUACAAAUUUCUUUAAGAAAAUCCUCAUUUCAUGGGAGUAUUGUUCUUGGUUUAUUCACGUAGACUUGACUUUUGAGAAAAUCCCAUCGAAAGAAAUCAGCUAGGUGUGGGCCAUGAAUACUUCUGUACAUGAAUAUUUUAUUUAACCAUAGCCAUUUUGCUGCAUUCAUGUUCUAUUGCUGUAAUCUUCAAAAAUAUGUAACUACUGUUGUGAGAAAAAAAACGUAACGUCUUUGGUGUUUCAAUUAAAGGUUUUCUCUAUUCCAAAAUCUGUCAUUUGAUUUGUUGGCUUUGACUAAGCAGAAAUGUGAUUGCACUAACUGUUUAUAGGUAUCUAGCGAUUAUCCAGAAAGCUCAGGAGGGUUUUAGUGUCCACGAAUUAAUCUACUGCUACUUCCAUAGCUUCAUUGAAUACUGAAUUCUCUUUUUAUUUUAAAAAGAAAGUCACCCAAAAGUUCUCAAUCAGUUCAUGUAUUGUUUUACAAGAAAUAUUUCUCACGGUAUUAAUCUGCGUGAGAAGUGGUCAAUCUUAAAGCAAAGUUGACGUGAAUUUUACGUCAAAAUAUUUUCCGUAGUUUUGACCAUAUUGUAUGACAACUAUUAUCACUAACCAAAUAAAAGAGAAAAUACGGGUUUGUUGUUAAGAUCUUCGUAAAAUCUAUUUUAUGAAAAAUGUUGUGUCAUUCGAAGAUUUUUUCAAAUGAAUAAAAUUUAAAUUGUUUCUAAUAAUUUUGGUAUGUUGAUAAAAAUAGUUGCGUAAUUUUUUUAUUGGAUACUUACAGUGAAACAAAUUUUAAAAUUACGAUAUAUACUGUAAAUGUUGAAAUUAAUUUUUAAUUGUUUUUAUUUAUUAUUUAAAGUAAUUUAUCAUCUUUUUAGGAAUUACAAGACUUCGCAUAAUGGAGAACUGUCUAUAAGAACAUGAAUAUUUUCUAAAAGUAUAAAUUGAUUGGAAAUGUGCGUUGUAUAGCGAAAACUGUGAAAAUACCCAAGUUGAAUUAUGCACUUAGCUUUUUAGAUACCAACUCUACCCUCCUUAGUUUUCUAAAAGCGAUCUACCAAAUAAACAUUAUUAUCUAAGCCAUCUGCCACUGGCCCAUUUAUAAAUUAAAACAACUAUUUAGCGUCAACAACAAUACAAUUGUUUUAAUCUAUUGCUGGAUUUAUAAAAGCCCUUCUACCAUUUAGUGGUGUAGGGUGUUGAUUCCAUUCAAUACAAUUAUAAGCUAGGUUCUUUGCUUUUUUCCAGUUUAUUCCUCGUUCAUUCAGUAUUUUCUCUGUCAACCUCUCUUUCUGUUUUUUCCAAUUUCCGUUUUCCAUAUUCUUUUAAAAUUCAUACGUUGCCCCCAUCAUUUUAGUUGUCUAUCCUCUAUUUAACUAAUGUAAAUUGUAUAUUUAGGUCUUUUAUUUUAUCUAUGCUUUGUAUUUUAUCGUUUUCUGUUACUCCUUUCAAUUUAUUAAGGUAUUUCAUUUCUGUAGCCUGAAUUUUAUUUUUCUGUCGUUUUGUUAAUACCCAAGAUUCACAUCGGAAUGUUAGAAUUGGUCUAUAUAUUGUUUUCAGUAUCCUUAGUUUGGUAUUUCUGGAUAUUUUUUAUGAAUUUAAUGUUCACGGCGUAAUAUAGUUUAUUGAUUUUUGCAAUUCUGUUAUUUGUAUCUGCAUCUUGCGUCCUGUUUUCGUCUAUUAUUGUUCCUAGGUAUUGGUAGUGUUUAACUUGUUCCAGUGUUUGUGUAUCGAUUCUUAUAUUUUUCUUUUCUUAUACUUUUGUCUUGUUCUUGUUACUGCUUUGCUCCACACUUCAAUAUUUUCUUGUAACUCUUCUUCUUUAUUAUUAGCAUGACAUCGUCUGCAAAUGCUCUUUCAUUGAUGUCAAUUCUUUGUAGUUGUAAAUGCCCCACACAUAUUUUUUUACUCCACACAAUGCAUAUAUUUAUGAUCUAGUCUAUGAAUAUGAAGAAUAGUAAUGGACUUAAACUUCCCCCUUAUCUUAAUCCUAUGUUUGUAGUGAAGCCAUUUCAUAUUUUGUUGUUUCUCAUGACCGCAUUCUCUUGUUUUCAUAAAUAUUUUGUAUUAUCUUAUAUCUUAUAACUUCCACCAGUAAUUCCCAUAUUUUAUGAACCAAAUGUAAAUCCAUUCUUUUAGAAAUUUCUUUCCAUCCUUUUGUAUAAACAGAAUUGAAAGGUUCUAAAGCAAAUUUUUAUUCAUUUUGGCCGUUAAGUACCGUCACAUCAGUAAAAUUAUUUUCCUUAUUGUACCUUUCGAUGUUCGAUGGAGACUGGCCAUCUUAUUUUGGAAAGAAUCAGCCGGCAUGUAGCUGCUCGUAGCGGCGUUUUUCCUAAAUUAUUAGUAUUUAAAAAUGGUAACUGUCCAUUAUGUCCCAUUUCAUCAGUAAACUUUAUGGAAGGCCAAUUUUAAUUGAGUUUUAAAAUGAAAUAUUCCACAUUUGCCUUUUUCGUAUCAAAUAUACCGAAAAUAUCAUCCAGAUACCUGUACCCUUGGAAAAUAGUGAUACUCUCAACUAAUCUACUUGGAGGUACUUGACCAUAGGUGUUCCUUCAGGUUGUUUGUAAAAUUAGACUAGAAAUAGUUUUGCUUCAUAAAUAUUUUCCUUAAUUGUAAAUAUUCUUCUAUUAUUUUUUCCAAUAAGGACUUGACAACUUUUCAACUUUUUUCAAAAUAAAAUGAAAACCAUUUUAGAUAUUUUAAAAACUUUAUUAUCGAGUUGAAGUACAUUGAAAACAUUUAUUAAUGGAACUUGACUUCGCUCAUAUGGUCACCGCGGGCACGUUUGCAGCGGUUGAUUCGUUGGACCCAAUUUUCCAUGACUCGGCUGCUAUUUCGCGUUCAAUGUUGGCUUUGAGCUCUAUCAACGUCGUCGGCUUAUUAGCUUAGAACAAUCGACUGGUCCAUUUCUUGAGAUAACACGCUCAUCAAACUUGUUCUCCAAUAAAUCGAUUGUAACGUGUGCUGUGUGGCUUGUAGCGUCGUCCUGUUGAAACCACAUGCUGUCCAAGUCCAUAUAUUCCAAUUUGGGCCAAAAAUAAACGAUAAUCAUGGCGCGAUAAUGAUAACCAUUCACAGUAACGUGGCGACCACACCAAACAGUUAUCUUUUGUGGAUAAAGUGGUUUUUCAUUAAGCACAUAUGGAUUUUCACCCGCCCGAUACCUCAUACCGAUACGUACGUCGCUUCGAAUGGUUCAUCGGCUUCAAUUCUUGAGUGAGCCUGAUCUUGUAUGGGUGUAGAGUAAGAUCCUUACGCCAAAUUCGCCAUAAAGUGGUCUUGGCGAUGGCCAACUCUUGAGAACGCCGUGGAAUUGACUGAUUUGGAUUAUUUGCUACGGACGUUUCAACGGCAGUGAUAUUAUCGACUCUUAGACCAACUCGUAGUCUCACUAACACGGCAAAAUCACACAAAAAUACAUAGACUCGAACUUUUUCACUGCCUGUCUACUAGGUCAAGAAUUACGACCGAAAAUUGUAGUUAACGCUUUUGAAAGUAGCGGCCACCGACUCCGAGUUUCUGUAGUAAAUUUUCAAGAUUUGCAGACGUUGUUCGUUCGUGUAAUUCACCAUGAUGAAAAGUUUAUGUUUACUGAAUAAACUGGCAACGACAGUUCGAUGUUAAGUGAAAAGGUGCAUUCACAAACUAAAUUCAAAAUUUUCAAGACCCUAUUGGAAAACCUUUUAUCUGCUCUAACAUUAUGGGAUUUCUGUUAAUUCAAUACUGCUAUUAUUAAAUGUCAAUAGUAAUAUAGCUUUUAUAUUUUUAAGAGGUCGUAGUGUCAAAUUACCUUUGACCAAGUCGAUAGAUUUUUUACAUCGCUGCCACGUGGCCACUUUUUGGUGAUUUUUUUUCCUAAAACGAUGUAAUUCGACUAUUGUCACAUUCAAUUCUAUUACAAAAUCACUUGGAUAUGAAACAAAUUAUUUAUCAUUAGAAAAAUACUUGAAUUUGUAUUUUUUGUUUCAAUCUUUGAGGAAUAUUUAAGGUGUUACUUUAGAUUGGUUUUAUCUUUUAGAAAAUAUUUAUUAUAUAAGUAUUUAGAACAUAAAGACAGUUUUCUAUUUUGACAAUUUAGAAAAAAAAAACAUUGUUUACGUGCGUGUUCAAUUAGAAAAAUGGAUUAUAUUAUCAAUUUUAUUUAAAUAUUUGACAAAAAAAUAGCUGUAUGUAAAUUAUUUUUUAAUCUGUGAUUACUUAAUGUCAAUCCACUAAAACUGUUAUCUGUAAAUAUUCACAUUAAACACACAUCCAUCUUUUUAUCUUUCUGUGACGUAUUAUUUAGCAGAAUACAAAAUUCUGCAAAAAGUUCUCUUGCAGGUGAUACAUAAUAAAUUUUUUUCAAAGAAAAUACUUGGAGAAGUGUGGUUUAAUACAAACUACGAAUGUUUAACUUAAACCAUCAGUAUUUUAAAAGUCUGGGCAUGAUUGUCUUCGUCAUAGACGCGUUUGUAUGCCAAUCUUUAAAUUUUCCUAAGGUAAAGUUACUAUGAAUGCGAAUUAUGACGAAAAUGUCAUAUGUCGAGUAAAAAUUUUGAUUCAUCAAAAGCAGUUAUACUGUGCGCGUUUUUUAUAUUCGUUUUUGGAGCACUGCAAAGAUUUAUUUUCUUUAAUGAAUCCCUAGAUGUUAUUGUUGUUAAAUGGUGAAAAAAUAGAAAAUCGUAUCUAUCGUUUUUCCCACUUUUGCCGUGCACACAAAUUUGUUUGAUCGCUCAAAUACAGUAGAACUCCAAUUAUCCGAAUUAUUGGGGACCGGGACCCAUUCGGAUAAUCAAAUAUUCGGAUAAUCGGAGUUUUUUUUAAAAAAAUUGCCAUUGGAGAGAAAAAAAGCUACGUUUUGAUAUUGCACUAUUUUUUUAUUGAAUUAAAUGAAAGAAACAUGAUAUUUUCACAUGUUUUAAAUAUAAAUAAAAUGUACUUAUGUACAAGUUUAGAAAUAAAAAUCAUUGUUUUUCAAACAUCUCAGUCAAUGUAAGCUGUUUUGCGUUAUUCAUCCGUUUUAGGGCAGCCAGGUCACGCAUUCGCUUGACGGUGAGCAGUUGCAAGUGGUCAUACUCGGGCUGACGCUCCAUCCACUUCAAAGCAGUCUCUAGGCCCGCAAAUGCUUCACUAGCUGAUGGUCUACUUCAACAUCAGCAGAAAGUUCUUCUUCCACUUCCACUUCAACAUCUUCUCUCACACUUUCAACAAUUUUAUCGUCAUUGAGAAUUUGAAAACCAGGGUCAGACGUGUCACAAGCCAUCCACUCUCCUACAUCUUCAGCACUUACUUCUGUACUACCAGGAAUUUUUACAAUCAUUUUUCUUAUUUCCUCUAGUGGCAACGCAUCUGCAUUAUCUUCAUCCUCUCCAUUUUCUUGUUUCUCAUUUUCUUCAGAUUCUUUUUUUUUUUUUUGUUCUUCUCAGACGGUAGGCCUUUCAGUUUAUUUCACGCACGUCUUAGCGUCACUUAGACUUUUUUUGGACAAAUUUUUUUUUGAAAGUGAUUCGGAUAGUCGGAGUUCGGAUAAUUGGAGUUCUACUGUAAUUUUGAAGACGUCGUGAAUGUUCUGAUAUGCUGGCGGCUACCAGUAGAAAGACUCAUUGGAAAAGAGGCGUUUGUUCAUUCGAACGAAUGCAUCAGAACACAUUUUUGUCUGAUUUUGCAUCCAAAGUAAUCGUAGUGUCACCUAUUUUUGUACUACACUUUCAAUCGUUACUUCAGUGCCAUAAAUUAUCAUCUAGAGGAAAAUGUCUGUAGCUGAGAUAUUUUUUGUUGUCAGAGAACGUAUAACAGACUAUAUCUCACAAGCGAGGCGAGAGAUUAAAGAAACGUCACAAAGCUCACAGGCUGCUACAAGAUGAAAAUAUCGAGUGCUUGUAUAGGGGUCAGGGAUGCAGCUACUUACUAAGAAAACAGCCCUCUCCUAUUUCACUUAUUUCAGACAAGUCUUAGAGUCAGAUGGAAAAUCGAAUUCUCCUAAUCUCAACACCUUCUCACAUUUUCGCAAAAAAUCCUGUCCCCGCAGUUUAAUAAAAACAAUUAUCUCGUUAUUUCGUUUAUGAUAAUUUUUCUCGAAUUGAUUCAGAACUCAAAUUAAGUGAAUUCAUAUAUUAUAUUAAAUAGUGGGUAAAAAUGACAUUGAUUACAAUGAAAAGUAGUAGACGUGGUGUGGUUGAGGAGUGAGAUUUUAUUUGGACCUCAAAACUUUCGUUAAAUUCGACUUCUUUAACUGAUUUUUCAAUUUUCUCACUAUCUUUGGUUACUGUUUCAUAUUAUCCUUUUAUAUAACAAAAAAGAUGGAUGUAUGGAAUUUAAAUGCUUUUUAAGUCAUAUUUGUUGUCUGUUUUAUGUAAUAGUAAAAAAUUUUUAUACUCGCUAUUUAUAUAUGUACAUAAAGAAGUAAAAUUAUUUUCAUAAACGCUUUCUUAACAUAA